rnacentral:tRNA from 1 species
CAGAUACAUGUGCGCAUGCACGUGUACACACAUGCAUGCAUACACACAUGCAUUUGUAGAUAUAUGUGUAGGUGUGUACACACAACAUACACAUAUGCAUCCACACAUACACAUAUACAUAUGAGGUGGCACGUUCAGCUUUCAAGAGGACCAUCAGGGACUUUGUCACCUUGACAACUUUAGCCUUGCCUUCUAGUCACCUUGCCGGAACACUUGUGCCCGUGUUUUUCUAGCACUGUCAUAAGAAUACUUUUACCUAUCAAGGCAACUGGGGGUUAGGAGAGCUUUUUGCACAGGAGGCUACUUGGCUUUGUUUGAAAACUGAUGAUACAUGAGGAUUGGGGUGGUGAAUCACUCACAUGUUUCUUCAUAUGAAAAAUGAGGACUGUGGGAUUCUCUGGCUGGAUCUCAGCACCUAGAAAUGGAUCUGGGCAAUAGGAACUGCUCAGUAUUAGCUACCGCUUUGGUUGCCUUCUCCUUGCGGAAAGCUGGCCUCUCACACUGAAUUUGUAUCAUAGGCACUCAUGAGGGUCUUGACUGUAUCAAUAUCUGAUGAGAGAUUUUAGUGCAGUUCUGUUAUCGUGGCUGAUUUGCUCAUUUGGUAGCUAGCAUCCAGCUUCUUGUGAACAUUAAAAUAAAAUAAAAUAGAUUAUGGAGGAAUAGAAUACAGAUACGUAGUAAGGUAUUAUUUUCCAGACAAAAUGGAUUUGGAUAAAAGAAUCUAAUUAAGAACUUGUGCAUGAUUCUUUUAAAAUUCUUUUGAAUCCAUUUUUUUUUUUUUGGCCUGUUUUCAAGUCUCCGAUUUUUGUCACCCUUCUCACACCAGGUCAGAGAGAUAGCUAAUGGUCAGAAGGAAUCUUCCAGCAAUGACCAUAGCGCUUUCUCCUGCCUGCAGAUGCCUCUUUUUAUUCAGCCUUUAUGGGAAGUAGCAGCACCAUCCAGUUCUCAGAGAGCAAGCUCUGGAGUAACUGAGCUAACCCCAGUUACCCCAGUGGAUUUACAGAUUGAGGUUACAACCCAGCAGGGUUCUCUUCCUGGAAAGAAUAGCCUUCCCUCUAAGGUUUCAAAUAGACCCUGGGUGAGGAAGGAGCCCUAAACAGCUUGAAAAAUUGAAUGCUCUUUGGGCAAAGCAGGAAGCCGUCCUAUGGAAGAGCAUCAUUUGAGCAUAAAUCAGGUUAUCAGGACAAACAGAGUGUUCAGGAGGUCAAGAUGGUUAAGCAGAGACCCUGACCAGAAUGUCCGUGGCGGAGAGAAACAAUCUUGUUGGGAAAAGGAUGACAAUAAUUGGGGACUUAGAAUAAAGGCUAAAAAUGAUUCAAAGAGAAUGCAAAAAGAAUCAGGCACAAAUCGUUUACUAUACUCUGUUAUGCAAAUCUCACCUUACUAUGUGUUUGUAUUCUAUUCCUCCACAAUCUUUAUUUUAUUUUAAUGUUCAAAGAGACUUGUAGGUGCCAAUUAAAUGAACAAAACAGCCAGAGACAACAGAACUGCCCUAAAAAAAGUCCCGCAUCAGCUCUUGAGAGCAGGUUCCUUAAAGGUGAACAAUAUUCCACAUACAAGGACUUUUUCAGCACCAUGCAUUAGAAAUGGAAGUGAAUGUUUAUUAUUUUUUGUAUAAGUUGGUUGAUAUGGCUUUUCAGCUUCCCUCAGUAUCAUUAUCCAAAUUUUGUAGAUGACACUAAAGCUCAGAGGAGUUAAACCAUUUUCCUUAAAUCACAUAGCUUUAAAUAGGAAAACCAGAUAUGAAAAGCAGAUUUUUUUUCUAAAUUAAAAAACCAAAAACAAAAACACGUGAGCUCUUGCUUUACCCUAGCACAUAGUCUUGCCAUCUGUUUUCUCCACACCAGGUGAUUCCUGUAACAUUCAUUCACAUAACAAAUACAAAUAAAUGAGUGGAUUCAUUCAUCAGAUAUUAAUUCAGAAUCCCUUUUGUGCCUUCCAGAAAUCUGGACCAUCUCACAACCCCCAGAGAGUCUCAGCUACAAGGAACAAGUGAUAAUGCCAUCCCACUUUUAUAAACACACACACACACACAUGCAAUACACACACAAUCAUUUAAUCAUUUUUAAUUAUUUAAUUAUUUUUUAAAAAUCAGUGACACUUUAGCUGGGCAGGUCUAGAUAGGUCUUCUUUGCUGGGACGUGUCUUUUUCUGUCCUGGAAUACCCUAAACUUCACAUUUUGGCAGCGUGAGUUUUCCCUUUGUGACUUUCUCCUUCUUCCCUUUUUUCCUCCUUCUUUGCAGAGAAUGAGUAGCCACUGCACCUUGCCCUGCGCCAUCAAUGAGAAGAUCUGCUCUUAGUAGAGCCCUGCUUUCCCGCUGAAGGCCCUGAAAUCACCUGUGUUCCAGGCCACCCACUAAGGAUAAACAAAGCUUCCCUGAUAUGGGGAAUUAGCUCAAGUGGUAGAGCGCUUGCUUAGCAUGCAAGAGGUAGUGGGAUCAAUGCCCACAUUCUCCAAGCUUUAUUAUUUAGGUACCCAAACCCGAGUCAGUGUCUGAGAGCAAGACACUGCUCUCGGUGUCUUUGGUUCAAGACAUAGGAGCAGCAACAAUACAGGACUGGUGACAGCUUCCUGCUGGCAUUCAGUAUAGUGUAGAUCUACUGUGUAAUUAAUUUUCUGUUUCUUCGAGGAGCUGUGAAACCAAAGGACAUAUAAAACUGCUCUUUUCUCCCUGUUUCUGCCUGCAGCUUGGUCCUAAAUGUGAGACAAUUGUGAAAAGUGGAGGACAGAGCCACCUGGUUAAAUACAGCCCCAGCUUUCUGGUGAGAGGACUGAAACCAAGAUGUGUCAAGUAACUAGAAUGUGCCUGGACAGAUACUGUAGAAAGCAAAACCAUAAAGUUGUUCAUGAGCUUGUGGACGCACCUGCCAGCUGUGAAUAAGUGGCUCUAAUCCCGAACAACUUACCUAAAAAGAGCCUGAGAGCUGAACUGUGCAAUGGCCCACUUUCCAGUCCUCACUGACCACUGGGUUGCACACACUUUGGAGAUCUCUGAACAGCAGUGUCAAGGCUUUCAAAUAGAGUUAUCUUUGAAACGACAACACAUGAAAGUCUGGUUGGUACUUGGAGCUUAAAUACAAGGCAAUUGUGUGCCUGCAAAAACAAAAAUAGCAAUAUUAUCCUUAAGAUUUCAACAAGACACAGUGUCUCAUCACAUAAUCCAAAGAAGUCCAGGUUACAAGCCCCACAAUAUUCAGCAUUAUGAAAAAACAGGGAGAUCUUAAUUCACAUGGCAAAGAGAAUCCUCGAAUAACAAUAUUGAGAGGACACAGAUGUCAAAAUCAUCUGACACAUACAUUAAAGCAGAUAUUAUAACAAUGCUCCUAGAAUCGGGGAUAACAUUCGUGAAGUGAAUGGAAAGUUGGAAAGUCUCACCAAAUAUUUCGAAUACAUAAACACCAAUUUAAACUUAAGAAUUAAAAAAAUGUAUUAACCAAAACUCUUAGGGGAAAUAAAAAGCUUAAUUGGAGGAUCUCCAUAAUCGAAUGCAGAAGACUAAGGAAAAAGUCAAUGAACUUGAAAACAGAACACGAAUACCUACAUAAUCUGAACUAUAGAGAGAAAGGAGGAUUUUAUUGUCUCUGAACAGAGGCUCAGGCACAAAUAAAAAAUAACAAAUCCAACAUUCACAUUAUUGUAAUCUGGAAAGAAGAGGACAAAGUGGUCUUUGUGGGAUAAAACUUUGAACAAUUAAUAGCUGAAAAUGGUUCAAAUUUGUCAAAAGAUAUAAACCAGAUUUUUAAAGUUCAGUAAAUGUCAAUCAGGAUAAACCCAAAGAAACCCAUAGCAAGGCAUAUCAUAAUCAAACUGCUGAAAACUAAGAAAAUACAAAACAAUUUUGAAAGCAGCCAAAGGGAAAUGAAAGAGAAACUACCAAAUGAAUGAUUGUAGAUUUCGCAUCAGGAACCAUAGGGGCCAGAAAAAAUGUCAUAACAUUCGGUAAGUAACAAAAGAAAAAGACAUAUCGACCCAGAAUGCUAUGUGGAGCAAAAGUAUCUUCCAGACAUAAAGGCAAAUAAAUGCAUUCUCAGUGGAAGGUAAGUAAAUACAUUCUCAUUCUUAGGAAGACUGCUGGAAAAGAAUUAGCAAAGAUUUGAGAUAAGAAAAAUGAUACCAGAAGGAAACUUAGAACAUCAUCAGUGAAGGAACAAAAGCAGAAAUAGAACAUGUCUGGGUAGACAUAACAGACUAUUAUUCUUCCCUUGAGUUCCUUAAGGAGACUACGGAAAAGAAGAGUGACUAAGAUCUCUGAAGAAGGGAAAAGCUAGAUGACUGGGCCACAAGAGGAAAAAAAGCAGCAAGACAGAGAUUUGUUGGUGCCAACUAAAUGAGCCCAACAGCCAGUGACAACAGAACUGCACUAAAAAAAGUCCCUCAUCAGCUCUUGAGAGCAGGUUCCUUAAAGGUGAACAAUAUUCCACAUACAAGGACUUUUUCAGCACCAUGCAUUAGAAAUGGAAGUGAAUGUUUAUUAUUUUUUGUAUAAGUUGGUUGAUACGGCUUUUCAGCUUCCCUCAGUAUCAUUAUCCAAAUUUUGUAGAUGACACUAAAGCUCAGAGGAGUUAAACCAUUUUCCUCAAAUCACAUAGUUUUAAAUAGGAAAACCAGAUAUGAAAAGCAGAUUUUUUUCUAAAUUAAAAAAAAAAAAAAAACUUGAGCUCUUGCUUUACCCUAGCACAUAGUCUCACCAUCUGUUUUCUCCAUGCCAGGUCAUUCAUGUAACAUUCAUUCACAUAACAAAUACAAAUAAAUGAGUGGAUUCAUUCAUCAGCUAUUAAUUCAGAAUCUCUUUUGUGUCUACCACACUAGGCUCAAGACUUCCCAGUGUCUUUGUCUCCUCUCCCUCAAAUCUCUCCACCCAAUGUCUUGACAAAUACUGUAGAUCCUUCCUGCACAGCAUCACCAGAAUGUUUUUCUUUCUUUUCAUUCACCUCUGUCAUCAUCCAUGCUAUGGUGUUUAUGGAGGAUGUAUUCUGCAGCAGGAAGUGUGAUGGGCACUGACGCUGCAGAAAGACUCCUGUUGUCCACCUCGGGAGCUGACACGAUAAAUGCGGCUUGAAUGUGAGGCAACUGUGAAAAGUGCAGGGCAGAGCCACCUGGGUAAAUACAGCCCUGGCUUUCUGGUGAGAGGACUGAAACCAGGAUGUGUCAAGUAACUAGAAUGUGCCUGGACAGAUACUGUAGAAAGCAAACCCAUAAAGUUGUUCAUGAGCUUGUGGACGCACCUGCCAGCUGUGAAUAAGUGGGUCUAAUCCCAAACAACUUACCUAAAAAGAGCCUGAGGACUGAACUAAACAAUGGUCCACUUUCCAGUCCUCACUGACCACUGGUUGCACACACUCCAGAGAUCUCUCAUCCGCAGUGUCAAGGCUUUCAAAUAGAGUUAUCUGUGAAACAACAACACAUGGAAGUCUGGUUGGUACUUGGAGCUUAAAUACAAGGCAAUUGUGUGCCUGCAAAAACAAAAAGAGCAAUAUUAUCCUUAAGAUUUCAACAAGACACAGUGUCUCAUCACAUAAUCCAAAGAAGUCCAGGUUACAAGCCCCAAAAUAUUCAGCAUUAUGAAAAACCAGGGAGAUCUUAAUUCACAUGGCAAAGAGAAUCCUUGCAUAACAAUAUUGAGAGGACACAUAUGUCAAAAUCAUCUGACACAUACAUUAAAGCAGUUAUUAUAACAAUGCUCCUAGAAUUACGGGAUAGCAUUCAUGAAGUGAAUGGAAAGUUGGAAAGUCUCACCAAAUAUUUGGAAUAUGUAAACACCAAUUUAAACUUAAGAAUUAAAAAAAGUAUUAACCAAAACUAUUAGGGGAAAUAAAAAGCUUAAUUGGAUGAUCUCAAUAGCAGUAUGCAGAAGACUAAGGAAAAAGUCAAUGAACUUGAAAACGGAACAAGAAUACCUACAGAAUCUGACCUAUAGAAAGAAAGGAGGAUUUUAUUGUCCCUGAACAGAGGCUCAGGGACAAAUAAAAAAUAACAAAUCUAACAUUCACAUUAUUGUAAUCUGGAAACAUUCACAUUAUUGUAAGAGGACAAAGAGGUCUUUGUGGGAUAAAACUGUGAAGAAUUAAUGGCUGAAAAUGUAUCAAAUUUCUCAAAAGAUAUAAACCAGAUUUUUAAAGUUCAGUAAAUGUCAAGCAGGAUAAACCAAAAGAAACCCAUUGCAAGACAUAUCAUAAUCAAACUGCGGAAAAUUAAGAAAACACAAAACAAUUUUGAAAGCAGCCAAAGGGAAAUGAAAGAUAAAAUACCAAAUGAAUGAUUGUAGAUUUCUCAUCGGGAACCCAGGAGCCAGAAAAAAAUGUCAUAACAUUCAGUAAAUACCAAAGGAAAAAUACAUUAUCAACCCAGAAUGGUAUGUGGAGCAAAAGUAUCUUCCAGACAUAAAGGCAAAUAAAUGCAUUCUCAUUGGAAGGUAAAUAAAUACAUUCUCAGUCCUAGCAAAACUGCUGGAAAAGAAUUAGCAAAGGUUUGAGAUAAGAAAAGUGAUACCAGAAGGAAACUUAGAACAUCAUCAAUGAAGGAACAAAAGCAGAAAUAGAAAAUGUCUGGGUAGACAUAACAGACUAUUAUUCUUCUCUUGAGUUCCUUAAGGUAUGUUUGAUGGUUGAAAGCAAAAAUUGUAACUUUAUCUGAUGCAGUUGUCAUUGUAUCUAGAUGUACUACAUACAUAAGAUAAAAGGGUAAAUGUAAUGGGACUAACUCUUGAUGAAGUUUCUAUAUUCAACUUGAAUGGUAAAAUAUUGAUUCUUAGUAUACUGUGAAAAGUUAUAUAUGUAUAUGGUAAUCCCUAGACCACUUAACAACCAGAUUGAAAUAAACCAAAACAAGAUAGACAGAGGAACAUAGAAGAAUUAAAACAAAGGGAAAAAAGGUUAAUAAAUUAUUAAAUAGUAGAUCUAUCUAAAAACUUAUCUAUAAUAACAUUAUAUGUAAAUUAUCUAAAUGCAUUAAGUAAAAACUAGAGAUCAUCAGAAUGUGUUAAAAAUAAAUAUGCUGACUAAAGAAAGCCACCUGCAAUACACUUAUAAAUAAGAAUAAAAGUUAUAGAGCAGAUUGAAAGAAAAGAGUGGGAAAAGAUACCUCAUGCAAGCAUUAAUCAAAGACAGCUGUGGUGUAUAUAUAUAAAAUCAGACAAAGUAGAUUUGAAAGCAGAGAAACUUUUCAGGAAUAAUGAGGCCUCCUAAAUAAUUAUGAUUGUCAAUUUUUCAGGAGAAUAUUGUCCCAAAUGUAUAUGAGGACACAGAGCUUCAAAACUCAUAAACAAAAUUGGAUACGCCAAGUAAAAAUAGAAAAAUCCAGUUAUAGUUGCAGUCAUUAACACUCCUCUCUGAGUAAUUGGAAGAUUUAGUGGAACACAAAUCAACAGACAUACUGGAGAAUUGAACCAUGCCAUCCAGUAAUGGACCUAUCAAUUUCAUAAUGCAAAAUAAAAAUUCAGGUAGAAAGCAAAGACAAAAAUUAAAAGAAAAGCAAGAUCAUGUUAUAAUGAGAAAAUUAAGAGUAGUCCAGUGUAUAGAAGGGUGCUAUUAUUGAAAGAGUUUGAAAUAGUGACUUAGUUAUUUUGAAACAUUUUUGAAGACGUUAUUUAGCUGGAAAUGACAGAAAGACUGAAAAUGGUGAAUGUGGAGGUGGAUCUUCCCUUGUCCAUAUUUAUCUUGUCUUCGUUUGAGGUCUGGGGUGUCUAUACUUCCUCUGAAUUACCUGAUCUUACUACAGUGUCUGGCACAGAGCAUCUCCCCAGUGAAUAUGUACUAAAUGAGUAGAAAGUAAUUGAUAGAUUCAAAAGAGUUGUGCAAGAAUAAUGUUCAUUAUUUGACUAAUCACUGAAUGUGGUGUUUCAAGGAAGACAAUGAAUCAAAGUUGACUUGAAAGGUAAGCCCAGGGCCAGACGUGGUGGCUCAUUUCUGUAAUCCCAGCACUUUGGGAGGCCGAGAUCAGUGGAUCCCUUGACACCAGG